rnacentral:rRNA from 1 species
CGGACGGGUGAGUAAUGUCUGGGAAACUGCCCGAUGGAGGGGGGAAACUACUGGAAACGGUAGCUAAUACCGCAUAACGUCGCAAGACCAAAGAGGGGGACCUUCGGGCCUCUUGCCAUCGGAUGUGCCCAGAUGGGAUUAGCUAGUAGGUGGGGUAACGGCUCACCUAGGCGACGAUCCCUAGCUGGUCUGAGAGGAUGACCAGCCACACUGGAACUGAGACACGGUCCAG